AAAAGAUAUAUAUAUAGAUAUGUAUUCUUAUGAGUACUCAUAAAUCAUUUUUGGUGAUAAAAUAUUUGAAUCAAUAUUUCAUAUCGUUAAAUAUUAUUUAAAGUAUUUAAAAUUUCUAAAAUUCAAAUUUUAUAAUUUUUUGACAUUAUUUACCUUACAAUCAAAAAAUCUCAAAAUUAAUAAUUUUUAACGGUCGGUAUAUGAUGCUUGUAAGUUUAAUGGUGUAAAAGAAUCAAAAUAGGUUAAAUUUUUGAUAGAAAGUUCUAUACACUAUCUAGAUAAAGAUCAAUAACUCCGAUUUUACAUUGAAGGAUCCAAUCAUCUAUUUUUAGAACGUCGUUUUAUUUUAACCGUUUAUUUUAUACCCGUUUAAUGGAUUUUAUUAUGAUUUCGAAAAAUUACAAAAUUUACUUUUUAUAAGUUUCAAAUACUUUAGAUCAUAUUUAACGGAAUUGAUCAUUAAUUCGGAAGCCUCAUCAUUGAAAAUAACUUAUGAGUACGAAAGACUCUCUCAUAAAAAUAGUAAUUCUACUAUAUAUAGGGAGAGAGAGACAAAUAACUAAACAAUAAAUAGUUUAAAUGAAAUAAUUUAAGGGAGAGAGAGAGAGAGAGAGAUAACUAAACAAUAAAUAGUUUAAAUGAAAUAAUUAAAUAAUUUAAGGGAUUUGGUGGAAGAAGUGGGUAGUCAU
rnacentral:lncRNA from 1 species